UUCGGUUGAUCCUGCCGGAGGCUACCGCUAUUGGAGUUCGAUUAAGCCAUGCGAGUCGCGAGUCUUAGGGACUCGGCGUACCGCUCAGUAACACGUGGGUAACCUGCCCUAUGCUGGGGGAUAACCUCGGGAAACUGAGAAUAAUACCCCAUAGUUCACCACGCCUGGAACGGUGGGUGGAUGAAAGCUCCGGCGGCAUAGGAUGGGCCUGCGGCGUAUCAGGUUGUAGGGGGUGUAAUGUACCCUCUAGCCAUCUACGCGUACGGGUGUUGGGAGACAUCGCCCGGAGAUGGAUUCUGAGACACGAAUCCAGACCCUACGGGGUGCAGCAGGCGCGAAAACUUGGCAAUGCGAGCAAUCGUGACCAGGGAACUCCAAGUGCAUCGGGUAAGACCGAUGCUUUUCUUGACUCUUCAAAGGUCUUGGAAUAAGGGGUGGGUAAGGACGGUGCCAGCCGCCGCGGUAAUACCGGCGCCUCAAGUGGUAGUCGCUUUUAUUGGGCCUAAAACGUCCGUAGCCGGUUUGGUACAUUCGUGGGUAAAUCAAGGCGCUCAACGUCUUGAAUUCUGCGAGCACGGCCAGACUUGGGACCGGGUGAGGUGUGGGGUACUCUCAGGGUAGGGGUAAAAUCCUGUCAUCCUGAGAGGACCACCUGUUGCGA
rnacentral:rRNA from 1 species